AUUGUCCGGCGGGCGGCGAGUGGGGUGGUCCCUGAGGCCGGGGCUGCUCUCGGGUUUACGGCCGCUUCGGGCUCCUCUCCUCGACCUGUCGGUCCUGGAUGAACCCCGAAGAGGAAGCGACAGCACUGGCGAUGACUACGGGGCUGCCAGCGGAGUGGCUUCAGCCCCCAAGGAGUGAUUCUUUGUAGACGUGGAAACAAGGAAGUAGAAGUGGGUACCUGCGUAUACGUCUUGAGGAGGAAGUGGCAGAGUCAAAACUCGGAUCCAGAAAUAUCUAGCUUUUGACCGCGGCCACACCCAGCCCACAGAAGGGUUUGAUUUGUGAGAUAUGUUUUAAAUACAUUGCAUCAACUUACAAAAAUUUAAAGUGUUCAUUUAAAAAUUUGACCAAAUUUCCAGCUACUCACUACAGAUUGGUAAUUCUGACCAUAUGAGCUCUGCAUUUCCCCAUGAUCAAUUGGUUCUGAGUCCCAGCUGCCCCUUCAAACAGGGCACAUGUUACCCAUCACCUUCAGUGUCACCUCUCACAGAUUACGUACCCUUGUAGGCUCUUACAGUAGCCCAUUUCAGUCACUGAUGAGCCUGCCUGGUCUCUAAAGGUAGGUGAGUUUCUGACUCUUUUCAGGGAGGAUAAUGAGCCUUGGUUUGAAUGAAUCAGAGGAUUAUUUAGCAUAUCAGUUAGAUGUUACUGGGUAAGAAACUAUCCCAAAACUUAGUGGCUUAAACCAGUAGCCAUUUCUUUAUUCCACACAUCUGCAAGUCAGCAGUCUCUGCACCUGUCUGAGAUCAAUUGUAGAUCAGCUGUGGUUAGCUUUGAUCUUGCUUGGAUACUUUCACAUGCCCCCAGUGAGACCUGACUCGCAUUACUCAGAACAUGCACUCUCUCAGGACACUGGCCUGCCUGUCCUCUGCAUCCCCAUUCCUCCUCCUCUUCCUGGGAGCACUGGUGCAGACAGUUGAGCUGUUCAAGAGUGUGUAUGAUGUUUCAGGAGCCGGUGACCUUCUGGGAUGUGGCGGUGGACUUCACCCAGGAAGAGUGGGGGCAGCUGGGCCCUGCCCAGAGAACCCUGUAUCGUGACGUGAUGUUGGAGACCUUUGGGCAUCUGCUCUCUGUGGGGCCUGAGCUUCCAAAACCUGAAGUCAUCUCCCAGCUGGAGCAAGGGGCUGAGCUAUGGGCAGCAGAGAGAGGAAUUGGCCAGGGCUACUGUCCAGGUGAGAUGCUGCCUAAUGGGAGCAGCCCAACAGGUGACUGCAGAUGUGCUGCUUGUAAAGAGUGGUGUGUCAGGGUCCCCAAGACCACCCAGAGAUCCAGUGAAAGAAUAUAGAGGAGAGUCAGCAAGAAGAAAAUGCUGACAGGGUGAAGUCCAGAAGCCAGUCAAGACUCCAGAGGUCUCUCCCAGCAGAGUACAUGGGACAUGCUUAGUUUCCCCAGCCAUGAGUUGUGACAACACGUGAGAAAUCUUAGCUACCAGGGAAGCUUGUUAGAGGCUCAAUGCCAGGGGGUUUCAUUGGCGGCUGGCCAUAGGCACCCUGUGCCUGACAUGGACCAAGAUUCUAGACUCCCAGGAGAAAGCAGGUGUUCACCAUAAACCAUAUUGUUGGCACAGUUUGGGCACAGUGAGCUACCCUUUUUUUUUUUUAAA